CCAGAGUCAAGAUCCUUUCAAAAUGCAUCAAAAUGGGAAUCACUCUGUGAGGGAAAGGGAAGGAGAGAAGUGAGGAAGCACACAAAUGAAAUCUUAGGUCUGUGGAGAGAUGCCUCAUCUUGAAUGUAUUUGCAUGGUAGAAGGAGUCGAAGGGAGCAUCCUUCUCCACCCAAACCAAUUCUGCUUGUGUGAAUUUUCUGCAACUCCACUCUGCAAUCUGAGUGCUAAGUCACCAUGGGGAGAAAACUUAUCUCUUUAAGCAUCUCUGGCAACUGGAAAAGGUCAAGGAAGCCUCCAUCAUGACGGAUAUCACAAUUAAGAUUAUACAGUCAGUCCCACACCAGACAGUUUUCCAGAGGUCAUGGAGCUUCUACCAUCCAUCAUCAAGACCAGGUGUCCUUCUAAGUGGCAACUCACCUUGGAAAGUAAGAUGCCAUUUCA